rnacentral:rRNA from 1 species
GACGAACGCUGGCGGCGUGCUUAACACAUGCAAGUCGAACGGAAAGGCCCUGCUUUUUUGUGGUUCCCGCGUGGCAAACGGGUGAGUAACCCGUGAGUAACCUGCCCUUGGCUUUGGGAUAACUUCAGGAAACUGGGGCUAAUACCGGAUAGGAGCUCCUGCGGCUUGGUGGGGGUUGGACAUUUUAGGCGGUUUGGGAUGGACUGUGGGGUUACUAGUUUGUUGGGGGGGUGGUGGCUUACCAGGGCUUUGACGGGUAGCCGGCCUGGGAGGGUGACCGGGCACAUGGGGACUGAGAGACGGACCAGAGUCGUACGGGAGGCAGCAGUGGGGAAUAUUGCACAAUGGGCGGAAGCCUGAUGCAGCAACGUCGCGUGCGGGAUGACGGCCUUCGGGUUGUAAACCGCUUUCGCCUGUGACGAAGCGGGAGUGACGGUAAUGGGUAAAGAAGCACCGGCUAACUACGUG